UACAGAGGGUGCAAGCGUUAAUCGGAAUUACUGGGCGUAAAGCGUGCGUAGACGGUUGCGUAAGUCAGAUGUGAAAGCCCCGGGCUCAACCUGGGAAUUGCAUUUGAGACUGCGUAGCUAGGGUGCGGAAGAGGGAAGCGGAAUUUCCGGUGUAGCGGUGAAAUGCGUAGAUAUCGGAAGGGACACCAGUGGCGAAAGCGGCUUCCUGGUCCAGCACCGACGUUCAGGCACGAAAGCGUGGGGAGCAAACAGG
rnacentral:rRNA from 1 species